GAUGAACGCUGGCGGCGUGCUUAAUACAUGCAAGUCGAACGAUGAAGCUAGAGCUUGCUGGCGUGGAUGUGUGGCGAACGCGUGAGUGUAACGUGAGCAACCUGCCCCUGACUCAGGAAUAUAAGCUGGAAACGGCGUCUAUUACUGGGUACGAGAUGUUUACGCACGGGGAUUUUCUGGAAAGUACUUCGGUUGUGGAUCGGCUCGCAGGCUAUCAGCUUGUUUGGGAGGUAAUGGCUCACCAAGGCGACGACGGGUAGCCGGCCUGAGAGGGCGACCGGCCACACGGGGACUGAGACACGGCCCAGACGCCUACGGGAGGCAGCAGUCGGGAACAUUGCAGAAUGGGCGAAAGCCUGAUGCAGCGACGCCGCGUGAGUGAUGACGGCCUACGGGUGAUAAACCUCUGUCAGCGGGGAAGAAGCGAUAGUGACGGUACCUGCAGAAGAAGCACCGGCUAACUACGUG
rnacentral:rRNA from 1 species